UACGGGGGGGGCUAGCGUUAUUCGGAAUUACUGGGUGUAAAGGGCGCGUAGGCGGCCUAGCAAGUCAGGUGUGAAAUCCCUCGGCUCAACUGAGGAACUGCGCUUGAUACUGCCUGGCUUGAGUACAGGAGAGGUGGGCGGAAUUCCCGGUGUAGCGGUGAAAUGCGUAGAUAUCGGGAAGAACAUCGGUGGCGAAGGCGGCUCACUGGACUGUGACUGACGCUGAGGCGCGAAAGCGUAGGGAG
rnacentral:rRNA from 1 species